rnacentral:rRNA from 1 species
AUACGGAGGGUGCAAGCGUUGUUCGGAAUCACUGGGCGUAAAGGGCGCGCAGGCGGUUUGGUAAGUCAGAUGUGAAAGCCCAUGGCUCAACUAUGGAAGUGCAUUUGAAACUGUCAGACUUGAGUACUAGAGGGGAAAGUGGAAUUCCCGGUGUAGAGGUGAAAUUCGUAGAUAUCGGGAGGAAUACCGGUGGCGAAGGCGACUUUCUGGCUGAAUUCUGACGCUGAGGCGCGAAAGCGUGGGGAGCAAACAGGAUUAGAAACCCCAGUAGUCC